rnacentral:rRNA from 1 species
GUGUCAGCCGCCGCGGUAAAACCAGCACCUCAAGUGGUCAGGAUGAUUAUUGGGCCUAAAGCAUCCGUAGCCUGUUCUGUAAGUUUCCGGUUAAAUCCAUUAACUCAACUAAUGGGCUGCCGAAAAUACUGCAGAACUAGGGAGUGGGAGAGGUAGACGGUACUCGGUAGGAAGGGGUAAAAUCCUUUGAUCUAUUGAUGACCACCUGUGGCGAAGGCGGUCUACCAGAACACGUUCGACGGUGAGGGAUGAAAGCUGGGGGAGCAAACCGGAUUAGAUACCCGGGUAGUCCCAGCUGUAAACGAUGCAAACUCGGUGAUGCCCUGGCUUGUGGCCAGUGCAGUGCCGCAGGGAAGCCGUUAAGUUUGCCGCCUGGGAAGUACGUACGCAAGUAUGAAACUUAAAGGAAUUGGCGGGGGUGCACCACAAGGGGUGAAGCCUGCGGUUCAAUUGGAGUCAACGCCAGAAAUCUUACCCGAAGAGACAGCAGAAUGAAGGUCAAGCUGGAGACUUUACCAGACAAGCUGAGAAGUGGUGCAUGGCCGUCGCCAGCUCGUGCCGUGAGAUGUCCUGUUAAGUCAGGUAACGAGCGAGAUCCCUGCCUCUAGUUGCCACCAUUACUCUCAGGAGUAGUGGGGCGAAUUAGCGGGACCGCCGUAGUUAAUACGGAGGAAGGAAGGGGCCACGGCAGGUCAGUAUGCCCUGAAACUUUGGGGCCACACGCGGGCUGCAAUGGUAGUGACAGUGGGUUCCGAACCCGAAAGGCGGAGGUAAUCCUCAAACACUACCACAGUUAUGAUUGAGGGCUGCAACUCGUCCUCAUGAAUAUGGAAUCCCUAGUAACUGCGUGUCAUUAUCGCGCGGUGAAUACGUCCCUGCUCCUUGCACACACCGCCCGUC